rnacentral:rRNA from 1 species
AUACGGUGAAUACGUUCCCGGACCUUGCACACACCGCCCGUCAAGCCAUGGAAGCCGGGUGUACCUAAAGUCGGUAACCGUAAGGAGCCGCCUAGGUAAAACUGGUAACUGGGGCU